UGUCACGCCCUCUACUUCUAGGGCCAGAUAGGGGCAGCCUCUCUUUUCUCUUCUCCCCCCUCCCUCUUCUCUUUCUCCCUCUCUCUAAGCAGGUGUUGGUGUGAUGCAGCUUCAGGGCGGACAGGUGCAGCCACUUACUAAUCAGCGGAUCGAUCCGUGUGGCGGGGAGAGGAGCGCUCUCAUUCAUUCACCCGCUGCCAUAAAAACCAGACGCUUCCCACAACCCGACGCUGGACCGUAACCUGAAAAUCCCUUGCCCACUCCGCCUGCUCUUGCCGUCUGCGUACCCAGCUCUCCUGCUCUUCAUCCCAGCUCCGUCCAGGACGCCGCCUCACGCCAUCACCACCUGCCUCUCUCCCUCCAGUCGGAGUUCACGGACUGCCUGCUCACUCACUCUCUCGCUAGCUCUGGUAGUACCCGACCCUGUCUCGCGUUUUGCAGACAGCGCUUUUUGUUAUUUGUUCUGACCCUGUCUCGCGUUUUGCAGACAGCGUUUUUUGUUAAUUGUUCUGAUCCUGUCUCGCGUUUUUGCAGACAGCGCUUUUGUUAAUUAUUACUGUUCCAGUCUCGCGUUUUGCAGACAGCGCUUUUUGGUUAAUUAUUACUGUUCCAGUCUUGCGUUUUUACAGACAGCGUUUUUGUUAGUUAUUACUGAUCCUGUCUCGCGUUUUUCAGACAGCGCUUUUUGUUAAUUGUUACUGCCCACCUUAGUUCCGUUUUCCUAUUUCUGUUUGCAUUUUUGGACCAAAUAAAUAUCUGUUUAACUGAACUGCUCUGACUUGAGUCUCUUUGUCCGCAUUUGAGCCUCGGUGCCUGAACCGUGACAGUACGGUCCAGCCAAGAUGAGCUCAGCAGACAAAGAGACUGGCGCGGAGGCAGUCUCCCCCGCUACCACGUUUCAACAAGCUAUUGCUAAUCAGGAAUGCGUGUUAGCUCAACAUGAUGAAUUGUUGCGUUCCCUGGUCAGUAGUAAUCAUGUUAUGCUUAAUCAGAUCUCUGAACUAACCACCCAGUUAAGAGGGUUGGCUGGUCAAAUUGCUAAGACUGCUCCCCCAGGCUCAGCGUUAGCCGCUAAUCCUGUCUUGGCUAGCGUUAGUGUUCCACCUCCCUCUCGUGAACCUGUAGUGCCUGUACCUGAACGUUACAGGGGGAGUUAGGAUCCUGCCAGGCCUUUUUAACUCAGGUUUCACUAGUUUUUGAGAUGCAGCCUCUCUCCUAUGCCUCCGAUCGUUCAAAAAUAGCUUACACCAUUGGGUUAUUGUCAGGACAGGCGAGAGAGUGGGGCACGGCUGUUUGGGGACGCCAGGACAGUGCCUGUGAGUCCUACGCGGCGUUCGUGGCAGAGAUGAGGAAGGUCUUUGACCACCCAGUAAGCGGUAACAACGCCAGCCACCGCCUCAUGGCCAUCUCCCAAGGGACAAGGAGUGUCGCAGAGUUUGCGGUGGAGUUCCGGACGCUGGCUGCAGAGAGCUCCUGGAACGACGGCGCGCUCCAGGGAGCCUUUUACAAAGGGCUAGGUGAGGCCCUAAAGGACGAGCUGGCAACUCGUGACGACUCUCCAGACCUAGACCACCUCAUCGCAUUAGCGAUUAAGAUUGACAACCGGCUCCGGGAAAGGAGGCGAGAACGCAGCGCCCGCUCUGUACUAGGACCCACCAGAACCCCAAGUACCCCAGGCCCCAGAACUCAGCCGGACCCCCCGCCGGAGUCUCUCCCAGAGCCAAUGCAGAUCGGCCGGGCCCACCUCACUGAGUCGGAGAAGUUACAACGUCGGUCAGCAAACCUGUGCCUGUAUUGUGGGCGUCCGGGUCACUACAUUGCCUCCUGCCCCGCCCGUCCGCCAAAAGGUCCGGCUCGCCAGUGACGGGGGAUCUGCUGGUGAGCCGUACUACUACUUCGCCCCCACAACGUCUCCAAGUGGCCAUAACCCUGUGUUGGCAGCGUCAGCCUAUCCCUCUUCUAGCCCUGGUGGAUUCUGGGGCUGAAGAGAAUUUCCUGGACUCUCGCCUGGCGUCCCAGCUCGGCAUUCCCACAGAAACUCUUGACGCGCCCCUGGAGGCUCGUGCUCUGAACGGACUCCACCUGGCCCAAGUCCGCCAUAAGACUGUUCCGGUCUCCCUGGUGGUGGGGGGCAACCACCAUGAGACAAUUUCCUUCCACCUCAUCGACCAGUCUAGUCCACCCUUGGUUCUUGGGUUCCCUUGGCUCCAGGUCCAUAAUCCCCACAUUGACUGGCAGCAGGGGGAGAUCCGUUCCUGGAGCCGGGAGUGCUACCAACGUUGCCUGACAUCUGCCCUGACUCCUGAAACUCGAGCCAGCCCCCGGGCCCUACCUUCCGAACCCCUCAACCUGGACCUUGUACCUUCUGUGUACCACGAUCUGGCCAUGGUUUUUAGCAAGGAUCAAGCCCUGUCUCUGCCCCCACACAGACCCUACGACUGAGCUAUAGACUUACUUCCCGGAGCUACACUACCCCGUUGCAGACUGUACAACCUGUCUAGACCUGAACAGGCCACCAUGGAGUCCUACAUCCGCGAUUCUCUGGCGGCUGGCAUCAUCCGCCCCUCUUCAUCCCCUGUCGGCGCUGGAUUCUUUUUUGUCUCCAAGAAGGACAAAUCCCUCCGUCCCUGCAUAGACUUCCGGGGCCUCAAUGACAUUACUGUUAAGAAUACUUACCCCCUUCCCCUAAUCAAUUCUGCCUUCACCCCGCUGCAUGGAGCCUCUGUCUUCACCAAACUGGAUCUUAGAAAUGCCUACCACCUCAUCCGAAUCCGGGAGGGCGACGAGUGGAAGACCGCCUUCAAUACUCCCCUGGGACACUUUGAAUACCUGGUCAUGCCCUUCGGCCUCACUAACGCCCCCGCAGUUUUCCAGAACCUCAUCAACGACGUCUUGAGGGACAUGCUCAAUCGGUUCGUCUUCGUCUACCUGGAUGACAUCUUAAUAUACUCCCGAAACCUUGAGGAACACGUCUGCCAUGUCCGCCAGGUCCUCGAACGUCUCCUCCAGAACCGCCUCUUCGUCAAGGCAGAGAAAUGCGAGUUCCACGCAUCCACUGUGGCUUUCCUGGGAUUCAUCAUCUCCUCCGGGGAGGUCAAGAUGGACCCAUUAAAGGUGGAGGCAGUGACUGAGUGGCCCCGUCCCGAAGACCGGAGACAGCUUCAGCGCUUCCUUGGUUUUGCAAACUUCUACCGCCGUUUCAUCCGAAAUUACAGCUCUGUUGCAGCCCCCCUGACCACCCUCACUUCCACCACCAAGAUCUUUUGUUGGACCCCUGAAGCAA